ACGGGAGGCAGCAGUGAGGAAUAUUGGUCAAUGGUCGAGAGACUGAACCAGCCAAGUAGCGUGAAGGAUGACUGCCCUAUGGGUUGUAAACUUCUUUUGUUCGGGAAUAAAGUGCCGCACGUGUGCGGUUUUGUAUGUACCGUUCGAAUAAGCAUCGGCUAACUCCGUGCCAGCAGCCGCGGUAAUACGGAGGAUGCGAGCGUUAUCCGGAUUUAUUGGGUUUAAAGGGUGCGCAGGCGGCACGUUAAGUCAGCGGUGAAAUGCAGGGGCUCAACCCCGGCACUGCCGUUGAAACUGGCGAGCUCGAGUACGGAUGAAGUCGGCGGAAUGUGAUGUGUAGCGGUGAAAUGCUUAGAUAUGUCACAGAACACCGAUUGCGAAGGCAGCUGACUAAUCCGCAACUGACGCUCAGGCACGAAAGCGUGGGGAUCGAACAGGAUUAGAUACCCUGGUA
rnacentral:rRNA from 1 species